rnacentral:lncRNA from 11 species
GUUAGACUGUAGUGGGGACUGCCAUGCUGCCUAUGUCCUCCUCUUCUGUUUCUCCAAACUGAGGAAACCCCAGCUGCAGGUAGGAUCAAUGAUGAAGAGAAUGCAGACAGCUGUGCUGGAGAGCAAUUAACAAGCACCAGGGAAAAAGUAAGACUCAAACCUCUUGAAGGGCAAUUUUUGAAGCUCAGCCUUGGGUCGUACUUGGAUGGGAGACCACCAUCAAAUACCAGGUGCUGUAUGUGUAUGAAAUCCACAGCCACCAAAUGGCACUCUUGGGCAGAUACAAAUUAUGAACAGGGUCAAGCGGGUUUCUAUUUUACCCAGUUGGCUGGAUUCUUAUCAGCAGUCUUCCACCAAGUGCCUGUUUCCCACAGACGACUGCAAAGUUUUUUUGUCUUUACAAGAACCAAGCUAUGGAGCAAAAUGUCUAGCUUUAUUCUGAUCGAAUGACGACGCAUGAGCAUACAAAUUGCAAGUGUGUCCCCUGCUCCUCCUAUCCCCUGCUCCAACUGGUUCAAAAAUAAAGCAAGUGUGGAAAGGAAUAUAAGCAGAGAAGCCAAGAGGCCUGGAGAAAGAAGACAUGGAGAAGCAGGGGCAAAACCAGGAGCUAUCAAAGUGGCAGCAGAAAAACCCAGCACAGCCAGUAGAAGCUCCAGGAACACUUUGGCCAUGCAGUCUUUGUACAAAUCUUGCAUUGUUGAAGGAGGCGGAGAGGAGAUGAGAUAUGCUCCUAAUGCAAGAAGAUAAAAGACUCCAUACAAGACGAAUGGUGGGAGGACAUCAAACGAGACUGUGUCCAUGCAGUGACAGAAGCAAUCCAAUUGAAGAAGCUGCUGAUUUCCCCCAGGCAUCAUACUAUAUUUUCUCAAGAAAUUUAUAUUAAGGAAUUAAAUUAUGUACAUUCAGCCCUUAUUUACGUUUCUUUAAAAAUACAGCUUCCA